ACAUUGUGCUUGCACAGAUGACGACCGGCGCACGGGUGCGUAACGCGUAUAGAACCUACCUUUUACAGAGGAAUAGCCUUUAGAAAUGAAGAUUAAUGCCUCAUAGUAUUGUAGACUGGCAUCAGUUUAUAAUUAAAGAUUUAUCGGUAAAAGAUGGCUAUGCGUCCUAUUAGUUAGUUGGUAAGGUAACGGCUUACCAAGACAGCGAUAGGUAGGGGUCCUGAGAGGGAGAUCCCCCACACUGGUACUGAGACACGGACCAGACUCCUACGGGAGGCAGCAGUGAGGAAUAUUGGACAAUGGAGGAGACUCUGAUCCAGCCAUGCCGCGUGUAGGAAGAAUGCCCUAUGGGUUGUAAACUACUUUUAUACAGGAAGAAACACUGGUAUGUAUACCAGCUUGACGGUACUGUAAGAAUAAGGACCGGCUAACUCCGUGCCAGCAGCCGCGGUAAUACGGAGGGUCCGAGCGUUAUCCGGAAUCAUUGGGUUUAAAGGGUCCGCAGGCGGUCUAUUAAGUCAGAGGUGAAAUCCCAUAGCUCAACUAUGGAACUGCCUUUGAUACUGGUUGACUUGAGUCAUAUGGAAGUAGAUAGAAUGUGUAGUGUAGCGGUGAAAUGCAUAGAUAUUACACAGAAUACCGAUUGCGAAGGCAGUCUACUACGUAUGUACUGACGCUGAGG
rnacentral:rRNA from 1 species